AGUGAACGCUGGCGGUAGGCCUAACACAUGCAAGUCGAACGGCAGCACAGUAAGAGCUUGCUCUUACGGGUGGCGAGUGGCGGACGGGUGAGGAAUACAUCGGAAUCUACUUUUUCGUGGGGGAUAACGUAGGGAAACUUACGCUAAUACCGCAUACGACCUACGGGUGCAAGCAGGGGAUCUUCGGACCUUGCGCGAUUGAAUGAGCCGAUGUCGGAUUAGCUAGGUGGCGGGGUAAAGGCCCACAAAGGCGAAGAUCCGUAGCUGGUCUGAGAGGAUGAUCAGCCACACUGGAACUGAGACACCGUCCAGACCCCUACGGGAGGCAGCAGUGGGGAAUAUUGGACAAUGGGCGCAAGCCUGAUCCAGCCAUACCGCGUGGGUGAAGAAGGCCUUCGGGUUGUAAAGCCCUUUUGUUGGGAAAGAAAAGCAGCAGGUUAAUACCCCGCUGUUCUGACGGUACCCAAAGAAUAAGCACCGGCUAACUUCGUG
rnacentral:rRNA from 1 species